UGACGCGAGGAAUGGCGAGUGCGAGCGACGGCGCGGGCAGGAGGGGGGGGCGUCGAGAUCCACCUCCGCGGGAAAUAAUGGGGAUGAUAAUAAAACAGGGGGAAAACCCGUCCGAGGGAAGCUGAAUGGAUGGAGCCAGAGAGACGUCACGACCAGCCGCAGCCAUGAAGACCGUGCGGUCCAGCCUCCGGCAGCUCAGUUGGUCUCCAUCUCCCGAGCCGCUCGCUCCUCGGGUUUGAAGAGCGGACGCCGCAGCACACCGGCAGGAGACGGCGGAUCCCUGGAGAGACAUUCAGCGGCCUCACAACACGUGGCUGACUGUAGGUCAGAACUUGGCCCAUGUUACUUCGCCUGCGGCUUGAGAGGAUGGGUAGCCUUAGGGGUUGGUUGUUAUCUUUGGUUAUCUAGCUGUAUGAGUGAUGUACAUUCUUCAUAAAGCUAGAUAACCGAAAGUAACAAGAAUCCCAUUACACUCCUGAAAAGGCAUCAAGACCCCAUGUGCGCCUCUCCCUCCAAAAAAAACACAAACUCUGCCACAAGAACAGCAACGCAAGUCAAGAAAAUGGACGACAUUUGCAAGGACAUGGGAGCUGAAUGCGGCGAAAGGCUACCACCACAAGACCACUGAAGGAAAGCUGGCAAAAGGAGACUGAAAAACAGAGAAGAAGGAGGAGGAGGGGUUGCUGUUGAUUCUGCCCUCCCUCUCUCCUCGCCCUCCUCUGCAUCGCCUCUUCCCUCCUCCUCCUCCUCCCUUCCUCCUCCGCUCCAUCCUCAGCAGACUGCCCCUUUUUCCUGUACAGCAACACGCAGCCCGCGCCACCAUCUUAGAGCAACGCUGGCAUGAAAUGGAAGUGGGAAGACCAGUCAGUGCAGGUGAGUGCUGUCGGUGCAGGGUCAGCGGGACUCCUCCUUCAGCGGCCGUUUGCCACCUUUCAGCUGGGAGUAAACAAAGACGAUGACAAUGGGCGCACACGACUCGCGUGACUUUGGAGCGCUGCCCUACUGUUUGCACGUCUGCUGCUGCUGCUGCGUGAUGCAGUGUUUGACCCAACGGUCGAGAUGGAUUGUGACUGCAAACAUCGUGGUGGACUGUGACUGCGGGAAACAAGGUUCGGACAGAAGAACUCAGCAGCUGGAGUCGCGGAUGAACCGGUCCAUAAAUGUGACUGUUGUAUUUCUGAGGGUGUGACACUGAAUUUUGUAAUUCUUAUAUAUUUGCUUAAAAAUAAUAUUAGUUAAACACUAAAGAAUGUUUCUAACUAAUCUAGGCUCCAUUUUCUGUAGGUAGUAUUGGACGAGCUGUAGCCCGCGUUGUGUUUGAUUUGUUUUGUUAUAGUUGCUAGGACUCAAAGACACGUGAAUGUGAGACCCACGGCAGCAGUGAAUAAUACUGCACUGCGAUUGGACAGCUCCAUGUGUCGGCUGACACAGUGGCGAAGGAGUGAGCUGUCGUCUUUAUACUCUAUGCAACUGUUUUAUCUUUUUUUGUUUUGUUUUUUUUCCAUCUUGAAUCCCAGUUGGGCAGAGCCCCUUUUAUCCUUUUUCUUUCUGGGCUACCAGUUUAUAGACAUUCCUUCAAACGUCAUGAAGAGAAAUGUUUUUUUAGGAGCCUACAUUCCCAUUGUUAAUAUGCUGAUAGAGUGUGUGUGAGUGUGUGACAGAUGACAGAAUAUAGCUCAGUUUCAUCAGUGAAUGUAUUGAAUCUCAUAUUUGCAGCCUCAACACACUUUGAUUUGCCUGUGCAGCCAUAAGCCACAGUCUGAGUAAAUGUGGACUCACACAUUUAAUAUUCCUGAUGGCAGAAGUGUAUUUGAUCAGCAGGAAGUAGCUGAGCAGGGCUCAUGGCUGUGUGUGUACAGAACACGCCACACUAUUAAAACCUUCCCAGCAGGCUUUGAGACGCAGCAGUUUGGUUCAUAGCCGUUACCUGCUUCACUGUAAUGAUACAUCUUUGGGUGAGACAUGACAAAUACAUUGGCUUCAAACACUGCCUUAAUUUCCUGUCCUUGACAUUAACAUACACACACACACACACCCAAAUGCAAUAAAGCAAGUACUAUCACAGCCUAAUUCAUUCUAUAUUAAUUUUCAGGAAGUGGCAAAUUUUUUAUUACGAUUGAUAAUCUAUGCAAAUCUUUUAAAUAUUACUUUAAACAAUCUAUGUCUAUGCAGUGCUUUUGCAAUUGAUUCAAGGGAGACUAUCUUGGUCUAAUUUAGAAAAUGUAUUCUUUUGAUAAUCAUGCACAUCCCAGUGCUCAAGACAAUUACUUAUCUGCCUGGAUAAGCUUGAAAUUAUGUUUUUAAUCUCUUGCAAAAAAAAAAAAAAAAAAAAAAAAAAAGUCACUCUUCUGAUAUCAGUCCAGUGGCAUGAAAACCAUGAAUUGUGGUCUAAAAUCAUUAAAUGGGUUGCACUAAAUCUCUUUUUCCUUAAAUGCAGAUCAAACAUAUCUAUUCAGCUGUGCUCUGUAUGUCAUAGCUUAUUGUUUUAUAUAAGCAGCAAUGUUUGUGUUAUGCAAUCUAAUCGCUGUGAAUGAGUAUUCACCACAUGUGCCUUUCUGUGGAAAACUGUGUUGGAAUAGUAAUAAAGGUUUACAUUGAAAACAGUGGUAAA